rnacentral:rRNA from 1 species
UGUCCUACGGGGCGCAGCAGUGGGGAAUAUUGCACAAUGGGGGAAACCCUGAUGCAGCAACGCCGCGUGAGUGAAGAAGUAUUUCGGUAUGUAAAGCUCUAUCAGCAGGGAAGAAGAUGACGGUACCUGACCAAGAAGCCCCGGCUAACUACGUGCCAGCAGCCGCGGUAAUACGUAGGGGGCAAGCGUUAUCUGGAUUUACUGGGUGUAAAGGGAGCGCAGACGGCAGUGCAAGUCUGAUGUGAAAGCCCGGGGCUCAACCCCGGGACUGCAUUGGAAACUACCGAACUAGAGUGUCGGAGAGG